GAAGGUGGCAAGCGUUGUUCGGAUUUACUGGGCGUAAAGGGAGCGUAGGCGGUCUGGUAAGCCCUCCGGGAAAUCUCCCGGCCUAACCGGGAAAGGUCGGAGGGGACUGCUUGACUAGAGGGCGGGAGAGGAGCGCGGAGUUCCCGGUGUAGCGGUGAAAUGCGUAGAGAUCGGGAGGAAGGCCGGUGGCGAAGGCGGCGCUCUGGAACGAUCCUGACGCUGAGGCUCGAAAGCGUGGGGAGCAAACAGGAUUAGAUACCCUGGUAGUCCACGCCCUAAACGAUGGACGCUAAGUGUCGGCAGGUUACUGCCGGUGCCGCAGCUAACGCAUUAAGUGUCCCGCCUGGGGAGUACGGCCGCAAGGUUG
rnacentral:rRNA from 1 species